rnacentral:tRNA from 1 species
GUGGGUAUAGCUUAGUGGUAGAGUGCAUGCUUAGCAUACAUGAGGUCCUGGGUUCAAUCCCCAGUACUUCCA